GAUGAAGAACGUAGCGAAAUGCGAUACUUGGUGUGAAUUGCAGAAUCCCGUGAACCAUCGAGUCUUUGAACGCAAGUUGCGCCCGAAGCCAUUAGGCCGAGGGCACGCCUGCCUGGGCGUCACACGUCGUUGCCCCCCCAUCUACUCCUUCGGGAUUGCGGGGGGCGGAUGAUGGCCUCCCGUGCGCCUCGCCGCGCGGUUGGCAUAAAUGCCAAGUCCUCGGCGACGCACGCCACGACAAUCGGUGGUUGCGAAACCUCGGUUGCCCGUCGUGUGCGGUCGUCGCGCAUCGAGGGCUCGAAAAAAUUGCCGGAUUCCGGCUCGGCUUUCAACGCGACCCCAGGUCAGGCGGGGUUACCCACUGAAUUUAAGCAUAUCAAUAAGCGGAGGA
rnacentral:misc_RNA from 1 species